rnacentral:lncRNA from 1 species
AUGGUGGGCACCGAGCUUGAGAGAAACAGCCUGCCCUCAAGGAGGAUAAUAUGGCUUAGUCCAGAGGUAGCAAGUACAGAACUGUCUGUGCUUCCUCAGACAUAUCAUAUAUAUAGAAAUAUGUGUUCUUACAAAUCCAUGGACUCCUUUUUCUGGCAUUCUUUAGAAUCUGCUGUUAUUGUUUCCCCACAGGUGACUGGUGAUUCUGGUCCAUUUCUUGUCCUUAAAAGAUGAUUCAUCAACUGACUAAGCAUUUUUCUUGGCUGUCUCCCCAUGCCUAGAAUGAUUUCCCCCUCAUCUCUGCCUGCAGAUCUCCCCAACUUCAGCAUGCAGCUUCACAAACCCACUUUGAAAUGCACCUUCUGCAGGAUCCCUUCUUUCUAUCUGUUGAUUGAAUUCAAACUCAUGCUCUCAGCAGCUUGUUUAUGUGAAAUUUUUAAAUAUUGUGUCCCCCAAUAAUCUUUGAGCACUUCACCUCUAGGAACUGUCUUUGACCUUCCUUCCUGGCCCCAGUGUUUAUCACUGUUCCUGUCAAGUUAGUAGUCACUUAAUAAUGGUUUAUUGGCUGGCUGACUGAUUGACAAAUAGAACUAUUAAAUCUAUUUCGUAGCUUGAAAUCUUACUGGAAAUACUGCCUCAGUUGCUUGGUUGAUUUGCCUGUACUUUUUAAAGUAAGUAUCAUCAACAAAUGGAUCUAAUAUUUUCUCCUCUACAAUUUAUUUAAUAUCCUUAAAUCUUUUUAUCUCUCCUUAAGGCAUUAAUAACUCAUAUGGAAUUAUGUAAGAUAAAAUAUACUAGAUCAACUUCACCUUUGAAUUCCUCAUACUGAACAACUAAUUUUCUAAUAUUUCCUUAUGUCAAACCCGCCAACUCCUAUUAAGAUACUGUUUAACCUUUUUUUUUUCCAAAAAUAGUAAACUUUUGCUCCAUAGAGUUUUUUUACUUUGCCAAAGACUUAAAAUAUUGGUUGAGAUAAAUGUGAUUUGGGUAUCUCAUUUUAAA